rnacentral:tRNA from 1 species
UAGUGUAGUGGUUAGCAUGUCUGCUUUACAUGCAGAAGGUCCUGGGUUUGCGCCCCAG